rnacentral:ncRNA from 1 species
GGCCGGGUGGAGGGAAAAGUUAUCAGGCAUGCACCUGGUAGCUAGUCUUUAAACCAAUAGAUUGCAUCGGUUUAAAAGGCAAGACCGUCAAAUUGCGGGAAAGGGGUCAACAGCCGUUCAGUACCAAGUCUCAGGGGAAACUUUGAGAUGGCCUUGCAAAGGGUAUGGUAAUAAGCUGACGGACAUGGUCCUAACCACGCAGCCAAGUCCUAAGUCAAGGAUGGUUCUUGAUAUGGAUGCAGUUCACAGACUAAAUGUCGGUCGGGGAAGAGAACCAUCCUCUUCUCAUAAGAUAUAGUCGGACCUCUCCUUAAUGGGAGCUAGCGGAUGAAGUGAUGCAACACUGGAGCCGCUGGGAACUAAUUUGUAUGCGAA